rnacentral:rRNA from 1 species
UACGGGGGGGGCAAGCGUUGUUCGGAAUUACUGGGCGUAAAGGGCUUGUAGGCGGCCAACUAAGUCAUACGUGAAAUCCCUCAGCUUAACUGGGGAACUGCGUGUGAUACUGGAUGGCUUGGAUUUGGGAGAGGGAUGCGGAAUUCCAGGUGUAGCGGUGAAAUGCGUAGAUAUCCGGAGGAACACCGGUGGCGAAGGCGGCUUCCUGGACCGACACUGACGCUGAGGCGCGAAAGCUAGGGGAGCAAACGGG